UUAGAUGCCCUUCUUUCUCCGCCGUGAUUUGAAGUAGUUCGGUUUGAAGAGAUGUCCAAAUCUCACAAGAAGAUGCAGUUUCAACCAAAAAGAAGACUUAAUACAUCCUCCUUCAUAGUGCCUAGAAGCCAAGAGGUAAGGAUGCCGUCAUUGUUGAGCCACAAGUGGUGCUGUGGGUUUGGACUUUUCUUUCCCGAUUCAUCCUCAAAUUCUUCAUUGGUGAGAUGAUAAAUAAUAUCCAAGCUUCGAACUAAUGGAAGAAUUUGUGAACGCCAUAAUAGAAAAUUUGAUGUGUUUAGCUUAAUCAAAAUUAAGCUAUAGAAUACUGGUGGAAUUGCUGGAUAUUCAAUUGUGGUUCAUUUUUCAAAACAUAAGAGGAAGAAGACAUGGUUUCAAGCUUGCAAGUUUGUACACGAGAAUUUUCAGAAUUGUUUGUAAAGGUUAGUGUUGAUUUCAUUGAGUUUUCUGUGCAUAAUAUAUACCACAAGAGUUCCUAAUCAUGCAGUUAAUAACACAGCAAGACAAGAAAAAUAUUAUAGCUUUUAAUGGCAAUGAUCCUAGCUGGGAAUAAUUUCUAAAAAUGCCAAGAGUUACGUAAUUGUGUUGCCAUUAUCUCUUCCGUUCCUUAACAUAUUGUGUUUUGCCAUUCUGUGUUUCGUUGCUCAGUAGAUUGUGUUGCCAUUCUUUUAGCCAUUUCCUAAUCUUUCCUUAUCAGUGCUUCUCGUUACAAUUGCUUAAUCUCUUUAUUUACUUGAUUCAACUUGAAGAAAUCAUCGCCGAUAUUUUAAGAAAUUUCUAGAGAAUGAUGUACAGUGCAGCAAGCUUGGAAGAAACUAGAAGAAAUCAAUUUGUUCCAUCACCACCGCCAUACUAGAAGCUACAGGAAUUAUCCAAAUCCAGUCACUGCCAAUAUGAAGAAUUCUCUAGAAUAUGUAUUUAAGUAUUUGUGAAGUGAGAUGAGAAAAAUGCAUGUCUGUUAGACGGAGAGGUGAAAGAGAGAUACAAAUGGAGAAAGAGAGUGCAGUGAGUUGAUAGAGAGAGAAAU
rnacentral:lncRNA from 1 species